GAGACCGAUUAGAACUGGGCAGAAUGGGGACUUUCCCCCCUAUAGUUAGUUACUAUUUUCAAUCACAGCUAUGCUUCUACCCGAACAGGCAACUUGGGAGAGUAGUCCUAGGAGUCCUUGAAAGUGUCACUAGGGUUUAAUCCUAAAAUAAGAAAAGUAUGGAGAGGGGAAGGGUAGCUAGUUUUUAAAUUUAUAAAUCUGUUUUGCAUAGUAUUUCCAAAGUAACUAGCCACUGAGUGAAGCGAAAAUUGGUACAGGUGGGGGUCGUUAGCAGGGAUGACCGCUCUAGCAGAGGAUGCUCGCAGUUUUCCCAUUAGUUUGCUCUGUCAGCCUACAUCUCAAAGAGGAUGUCCAAGAUUCCCAUCCACCUCCGACCCAGAAAAGCAGACGCGGUUUCAAGGUCAAUAAAUUAGAGAGGUUAAACAGACACCCAAACAAAUUAGACCGUGCACCUCAAAGGAUGUUUGGAGUUGUCACCUCCUAGUUCUGGCUUUUAGUCUCAUAGUGUCUCUAGGUAACAAUUAUUUCCCGUGCAUCAAGCUGAAUAUUGAAAGCACAGGAUAGCAGCCCUGGCUUCCCCAUGAAGGAACCCUCCUGAGCCAUUUGUCCUCUGUGUCCUAGUUCUCUCCCCAUAAUGACGUCAGUAAUAUCGCUCCAUCACAGCAGUCCUCCGCUCCUCAUUCUUUUCAUCGUUUUUCUCUUCAGGCAUGACCCCUGAGAGCAUACAAGCACACUAACAACACUGUUUCUCCUCCACUCAGUCCACAGCACUAUCAGCCUUCCCGCUAGGGGAAACUUCAAAGUGACGUCCUCCGGGCAGCCACUGUGGAAAAUGACAUGGGCUUGGUGCUUUAGGCAUUUUAAGGUCAGGUGCCCGACGCAUGGAUUCCACUUCUGGAAUUGCAACAGGAGCAUGAAGAAACAUUCCAACAUUCCUGCACACCACAGUGAGACUGUCCACUGAUCAGCGGCCAGACGGAGAAAUAUACAUAUGUAAAGCAGCACAUUUCAUCUUUAAUAGGGAGGGCAAUUCCCACACAGCUACCUCUCCAGCCUAUUCAUGGAUCUUUUUUUUUUUUUAAUCAUCUGAUAGCUUUGUGGGGCUAGAGAUGUAGCUCACCGGUAGAUUGCUAGCUUAGCUCUUGCAAGGCCCGGGGUUAUAUCAUCAGCAAGAAAAAAAGUAAAAGAAAAAGAAGAAGAAAAAGAAAAAGGGAAAGAAAAAGAAACACAGACCCAAAACCUUCCAGGUGUGGAGAGUUCACUCUCCGAGACAUGUGGUGCUCAGGCUGCUGAGAUGUGUAUCUGUGGUUAUCGGUUAUUCAUCUGGAACCAGAAGACAAAGCUUAGGUCCAGCCCAUCCCAGGACAGUUCUCAGAGGCCAGCCUUCACUUGGGAGAUCACUUCUUCAAACCAGGUUUUUGUUUGCUUAGUUUGCUUUUAGGCUUUCCCCUUUAAUAAAAUGGAAAGAGAAGACACCAA
rnacentral:lncRNA from 1 species